GACUGACAAACCUUUAGGCGGU
rnacentral:misc_RNA from 1 species